rnacentral:rRNA from 1 species
GGAGUUAGCCGGUGCUUCUUCUGUGAGUGAUGUCCUUCCUGCCGGCUAUUAACCCGCAGGCCUUCUUCCUCACUGAAAGUGCUUUACAACCCGAAGGCCUUCUUCACACACGCGGCAUGGCUGGAUCAGGGUUGCCCCCAUUGUCCAAUAUUCCCCACUGCUGCCUCCCGUAGGAGUCUGGGCCGUGUCUCAGUCCCAGUGUGGCUGAUCAUCCUCUCAGACCAGCUACGGAUCGUCGCCUUGGUGAGCCGUUACCUCACCAACCAGCUAAUCCGACAUAGGCUCAUCCGAUAGCGCGAGGCCCGAAGGUCCCCCGCUUUCCCCCGUAGGGCGUAUGCGGUAUUAGCCUGGGUUUCCCCAGGUUAUCCCCCACUACCGGGCAGAUUCCUAUGCAUUACUCACCCGUCCGCCGCUCGCCACCAGGGAGCAAGCUCCCCGUGCUGCCGCUCGACUUGCAUGUGUUAGGCCUGCCGCCAGCGUUCAAUCUGAGCCAGGAUCAAACUCGACUCGAGCGGCGGUGGCGACGGACGGCGACUAG